UCGAACAAGGCCAUUAUCUGCACCGGAUCAGGGAGCUGUAUAUAAUGAGAUGCUUUUGUCUCCACCCUAACAAUGGGAGUUGUCCCAAAGGCAGGAGACAAGCAUAGGUCCAAAAUAAGCCCAUAGAAACGCAUUUGUUUAUUUUGGCAAGAGUGAAACCUCUGGCUCGUCCUCUCUCCAUGACUAUGGGCUCGAUUGAGUGGUAAGAGAAAAGCAACCGAAUGUAGAUGAAAGUCGAGGAGUGAAGUCUGGGAAGGUGCAUUUGCGACAGCCGAAAGUCGGACUGUGGUUUUCCAACAGCAAGAGAGAAGCUUGAUGAAAACCAGCUCCAGAGUGCUUAGGACCUCUGACUGGGGGCGAAUAUUCACCUUCCAACAGGACAAGACCCUAAGCACAUAGCCAAGACAACGAAGACAACACUGGAGUGGCUUUGGGACAAGUCUCUAAAUGUCCUUCAGUGGCCCAUCCAGAGCCUGGACUUAAACCCUAUCGAACAUCUCUGGAGAGUCCUGAAAAUGGCUGUGCAGCAACGCUCCCCAUCCAAUCUAACAGAGCUUGAGAGGAUCUGCAAAGAAGACUGGGAGAAACUCCCCAAAUAUAUAUAUGUGCCAAGCUUGUAGCGUCAUACCCAAGAACACGCUACAAGCCUUGAUGACAGCUUUGCACACUCUGCAUUCACUCAACCAGUUUGGUGAGGUAGUCAUCUAGAAUGCAUUUCAAGAAGACUCAAAUAAUGGGUCUGAAUACUUAUGUAAAUGUGAAACAUAUAUGUGUAUGUAUGUAUAUGUGUGUAUGUACCAGUCAAAAGUUAGGACACACCUACUCAUUCAAGGGUUUUUCUUUAUUUUUACAAUUUUCUACAUUGUCUAAUAAUAUUGAAGACAUCAAAACAAUGAAAUAACACAUAUGUAAAUCAUGUAACCAAAAACAAAAGUGUUAAACAAAUCAAAUAUAUUUUAGAUUCUUCAAAGUAGCCACCCUUUGCCUUGAUGACAGCUUUGCACACUCUUGACAUUCUCUCAACCAGUUUGAGGUAGUCAUGUGGAAUGCAUUUCAAUUUACAUUUAACAGGUUUGCCUUGUUAAAGUUACUUUGGAAUUUCUUUCCUUAAUGCGUUUGAGCCAAUCAGUUGUCCAAAUGUUUGGCUAUCGAUUUAUAUCUGUGUUUUCAGCUAAAAAGGGAAAAAUCUGACAUUUGUUCAAUGAAUGUGAAUCUGAGAGAAUUUUGGGAAAACCUUGCAGAAUACUUAUUUAACUUUUUGAACACUACCCAUGUUUUUGACAUGAAGGAUAUAUGUUACUAUUGCAAUGAUAACAAGACCAUUGAAAGGAUUGUCAAUUUUUUUUAUUCUUGUUGUCAAAUACUUUAUACACCAAACAAAUUCCAGAAUUCUAUACCGAAAUUACAAAUAUUUUUGAUUGAAUUUAAUCUUGUUAAGACAUCCCUAGUUAAUAACAAUAAUAAUAACAUCUUAUUAUAAUGACUCAGGAAGAUGUUUUCAGAUGGACACAAUUGCACUAGAAUUGUCAUUAAAAAAAUGUAUGUAUACAUUUUUAGUUUUUUUUUCUAUGUAUUUAGUAUUUUCCUGUUUAUACCUGUGUUGUGUUAGACAUGUUUGAUGUAGCGAUGUAAGUUGUUGAUAGUUUUGUAUUAUGUUUUUUUUUUAAAUACAUAAAUAAAAAAUGCAGAGAGAGAAAGUUA